rnacentral:rRNA from 1 species
CGUGUAGGCGGUUUAGCAAGUCAGAUGUGAAAGCCCUGGGCUCAACCCGGGAAGUGCAUUUGAAACUGCUUCACUAGAGUAUGGGAGAGGAGAUUGGAAUUCCUGGUGUAGAGGUGAAAUUCGUAGAUAUCAGGAGGAACACCCGUGGCGAAGGCGAUUCUCUGGACCAAUACUGACGCUGAGACGCGAAAGCGUGGGGAGCAAACAGGAUUAGAUACCCUGGUAGUC